rnacentral:lncRNA from 1 species
CUCAGCGCAUGAACCUGUGAGGGGAUUUCAUACUUAAACAGUGACAAUGCUACAAAUGGACAUGAGUUGGAAACAUGUAUACUUUUACAAUUUCAAGAAUGAUAAUUAUGUAGCAGAAAGCUAGAUCACUGCUGCUCGUCCACCUCCUCCAGACUCCUAAAGACAGACAGGACUACCACAGGGAUUCACCUCAAGCAGCACUUGGCUCCCAGGCCUACCACUACUGGGAACCCAUCAGGUGCCUGUCACAUUCAGCUCAUGACCCCCAGGAUCAACUCUGCCUGCCCCUCUGUGCUUCCCCUCCAAAUGCUGAAGUGCCCAGCAGCUUCAUUGUUCCCUGACAACUCACCUCACCCGCUAAAGAGCAACCUCCUAAAAACCAAAUGCUUGCCUCCAAUGUUCAUAUGCUGAAGUCUUAACCCCAGAACCUCAGAAUGAGACUGUAUUUGCAGAUUUGUGAAUGGUCCCUGCAACCCAUGGUGUGAACAUCUGAAAGCUGUCUAAAAACCUAGAGAAGUCUUAGAAGAAGCCAUCCCAGCCAGUGCCUUGACCUGGCACUACGUUCAGCCAAUUGAUGCCUGUGGGCUUGAGGAAUGGCCAAAGCCUCUCAUGUUUGGGGCUUUGUCAUGACUGACAUAGGAACUUUCACCCACCCUUCAACUUGUAAGGACCCCACUUCUCCCCUUCCCCCCACAGCUAGGCAAGGUCUAUUUCUUCAAUCAGUUCCCUGUUCCACAAUACAUUUGGAGAGUCUGUCACCCUUAUAAAACCCAG